rnacentral:rRNA from 1 species
UGGGGAAUAUUGGACAAUGGGGGCAACCCUGAUCCAGCCAUGCCGCGUGAGUGAUGAAGGCCCUAGGGUUGUAAAGCUCUUUUGUGCGGGAAGAUAAUGACGGUACCGCAAGAAUAAGCCCCGGCUAACUUCGUGCCAGCAGCCGCGGUAAUACGAAGGGGGCUAGCGUUGCUCGGAAUCACUGGGCGUAAAGGGUGCGUAGGCGGGUUUCUAAGUCAGAGGUGAAAAGCCUGGAGCUCAACUCCAGAACUGCCUUUGAUACUGGAAGUCUUGAGUAUGGCAGAGGUGAGUGGAACUGCGAGUGUAGAGGUGAAAUUCGUAGAUAUUCGCAAGAACACCAGUGGCGAAGGCGGCUCACUGGGCCAUUACUGACGCUGAGGCACGAAAGCGUGAGGAGCAAACAGGAUUAGAUACCCUGGUAGUCCACGCCGUAAACGAUGAAUGCCAGCCGUUAGUGGGUUUUACUCACUAGUGGCGCAGCUAACGCUUUAAGCAUUCCGCCUGGGGAGUACGGUCGCAAGAUUAAAAACUUAAAUGAAUUGACGGGGUCAUAGCUGUUU